UGGGGAUUAUUGCACAAUGGAGGGAACUCUGAUGCAGCGACGCCGCGUGAACGAAGACGGCUUUCGAGUCGUAAAGUUCUUUUAUAUGGGAAGAUAAUGACGGUACCAUAAGAAAAAGCCCCGGCUAACUACGUGCCAGCAGCCGCGGUAAUACGUAGGGGGCUAGCGUUGUCCGGAAUCACUGGGCGUAAAGGGUUCGCAGGUGGAAAUGCAAGUCAGGUGUAAAAGGCAGUAGCUUAACUACUGUAAGCAUUUGAAACUGCAUAUCUUGAGAAGAGUAGAGGUAAGUGGAAUUUUUAGUGUAGCGGGGAAAUGCGUAGAUAUUAAAAAGAAUACCGGAGGCGAAGGCGACUUACUGGGCUCAUUCUGACGCUGAGGAACGAAAGCGUGGGUAGCAAACAGG
rnacentral:rRNA from 1 species